rnacentral:rRNA from 1 species
CACGUAGGGCGCAAGCGUUGUCCGGAAUUAUUGGGCGUAAAGAGCUCGUAGGCGGUCUGUUGCGUCCGCUGUGAAAACCCGGGGCUUAACCCCUGGCUUGCAGUGGAUACGGACAGACUAGAGGUAGGUAGGGGAGAAUGGAAUUCCCGGUGUAGCGGUGAAAUGCGCAGAUAUCGGGAGGAACACCGGUGGCGAAGGCGGUUCUCUGGGCCUUACCUGACGCUGAGGAGCGAAAGCGUGGGGAGCGAACAGG